rnacentral:tmRNA from 1 species
GGGGGUGCAAAGGUAUCGACAUAUUUUUUGAAGUAGUGGUAGCGAGUAGUGGAUUCUGUUGGCCACUUUAAAAAACAGAAAAUUUAAAAUUAAACGCUGAUAAAGAAUUAGCAUUAGCUGCCUAAGCGCGGCUACGUCAACCUAAUUUUGUCGUCGGAUUAGAGCUUGGCGUCGACAGACGACUAACGAACCUAGGAAAGCUUUGACCUAGUGGGUAUUCAUGAAGCUACUGGAUAUAAAAUCCUGUUUGCGGGAGUUUGUUGAAGGGAAUUUCAAAACACAAACUGCACUCGGAGAAACUACUGUGGAUAGAAGUAUGGACAGGGGUUCGAUUCCCCUCACCUCCACCA